rnacentral:rRNA from 1 species
GACGAACGCUGGCGGCGUGCUUAACACAUGCAAGUCGAACGGAAAGGCCUGUCCUUCCUUGUGUUGGACGGGUACUCGAGUGGCGAACGGGUGAGUAACACGUGAGUGAUCUGCCCCCAACUUGGGUAUAAGCCUGGGAAACUGGGUCUAAUUCCCGAUAGGACUGCAGGGUGGUGCCUGUGGUGGAAAACGAUUUUCUAGUGGUUGGGGAUGAGCUCGCGGCCUAUCAGCUUGUUGGUGGGGUAAUGGCCUACCAAGGCGGCGACGGGUAGCCGGCCUGAGAGGGUGGACGGCCACAUUGGGACUGAGAUACGGCCCAGACUCCUACGGGAGGCAGCAGUGGGGAAUAUUGCACAAUGGGCGGAAGCCUGAUGCAGCGACGCCGCGUGGGGGAUGACGGCCUUCGGGUUGUAAACUCCUUUCGACCGCGAGGAAGCCGCCUGGUUGGAAGGGUGGUGACGGUAGUGGUAGAAGAAGCACCGGCUAACUACGU